UCUGCACAGACCGCAGCCCCUCCUGUCCCGUUCCGUUUCCUGCCUCCGGCCGAGCCCUUCCAGGAGCCGCACCAGCAGGGCCGGAUGCGCCCGGGGGAGAAGGCACAGGGCUGCCCUGGCCCUGCUCAGGCUGCCGUGCUGAACUCACACCCUCCAGCUGGGAGGAAGGCCGCGGGACCAGGACGGCUCUCUCUGAAAGCCCUCACCGCUCACCGUAGAUGGUAAGGCAGAGCCAGAGAACGUCAGAGGUUUUGCGAGUGAAAGGCGGGAGGCGCUGCGGAGAAGCCUUGCGGGCAGGCCCAGUGCCCGUGACCCUGUGGGGAGCCCCCUGAGACGGAGGAGGGCAGAGCCCCUGUUCUGGUGGGAUGAAGACGUUUACAGACCAUUAGACCGAAGGCGGCGGCCUUUCCUGCCGUGGCUGGCAGGGGAGGAAGACACGGGACACGCGAGGCGGUCCGCGGGAAGCUCCGGUCAGGAGGGUAAUCACCUAGAGGAGUUCCUGAAGGCUUUCCUAGAGCCCUGGGAGGGCAGAGAGCCCGAGGCUGGAAGGCGUGGGAACCGACGUAUUGUUUCCAUCGGAGGACACGCUGCUGAGGCCCCGACGUGGGCACCCACCCGCAGAUCCCGCGCGUACCGUCUCUUACUGUUCUCCCCAAACAUCUCUGCAGGAACCGGGGGAGGACACCUGUCACCAGAACCAGACCCGCCGUAAAUCCAGGAGGAUCUCAUCCCAGGACCUGCAUGUUGAUCUUAUCUGCAAAGACUCUCUCUUCAAGUUUACUCCCUUCACAGCACUCACCAGGAUGCUGGCAGUUCCUACAGAGUGAAGCACACAGUCAUUCCACGCAGAGGUGGGCCUCAUCCAAUCAGCUGAAGGUUUGCAUAGAACAAAGGCUGACCCUCCCCUAAGUAAGAGAGAAUUUCUCCUGCCGGACGACGUUUGCAUUAAGACACGGUUUCUCCUCCUUUGACCUCAGACGGAAACGUGGCUUUUCCUGGGUCUGGGGCCAGCGGGGCCUCCGAUGGACACCCCAUCCUUGCCUCUCCCGGGUCUCAGACCUUCCGAAUCAGACUGGGGUUCUAGAAGGCUUCUCCAUACCCCGUUUUUCCAUACGCUGCUUUCCCAUACAUGGGUCCUGACCAAAUCAGAAGACAUUCAUGCACUCUAAACGGGAAGGCACGGUUAUUCCCAUUCUGCAGAUGGGGAAGCUGAGGCCCAGAGACACACUGAUGAUAAAGCCAUCUGGUUGUUGGGAAAACAGAGGUGGACCCAGGACAUCUGGCUGCUUCCCUCCUCAUGCCACUGUGAGUGCCCCGGGCCGUGAAACCCAGCUGAGAUGUGCACCGUCGUCGGCCUUCGCAGUCUUCUGCGGACCUCUGACAGCCGUCGCAGCCCGCCCCCCAGAGCCUCCUGCAGUCACAUCCCCAGGGGCUCAGGGCACCUGCGUGGGGUGGGGCUGCUUCUCCUGAGUCCAAACUGCUCUGGCUCGAAGUCGAAGGAGCCGUGUGUCCCGCAUGCUCCUGUGGGCUUGGGGACAGCGUCCCGAAGCUGUGCUAGACCCUUCCUGCCCCCCCGAGCCCGCGCGGAGGGCAACAGUUACCAAAGCGGAAUGUGGAGAAGGGAUCCCAAACCCUCUGUGCUGUGAUUUUACGAUGUUGAGGAUUUGCAAAGCUACACGUUACAGGAAGAAAAGACGAAGAUAAAAACUGUGCAUGUCUGGGGCGCCUGCGGGGCUCCGUGGGUUAAAGGUCUGCCUUCGGCUCAGGUCAUGAUCCCAGGAUCCUGGGAUCAACCCCUGCAUCGGGCUCUCUGCUCAGCAGGGAGCCUGCUUCCCCCUCUCUCUCUGCCUCUCUGCCUGCUUGUGAUCUCUCCCUCU